AUAGGGAAUCAGGAAACCCCCUGCAGGUGACAAUAUGAGACUCAGAUAAUUCAGAGCAGCAAACACCUCCACUUUAACAUCAUUAAGGUCUGAUGUUGCAAAGGUUCAUUUUAAAAUUAAUAUGCCUUUUAUAAUUUCAAUUAUUUAAACGCUGUGCAACAUCUUUAAAAAAUAAUAGCUUAGAAGAUGACCAACAAUGUCUUGGUAAUUGAAAAUAAUGUUAUGGAAACCAAGCUGAAUGAAGAAAAUUAUAAACUAAUAAGGUGAGUCAAAAACUGAAUAACAUAUUCAGUUUUUUCCAUUGUUGGUUUAAAGAAGAUUUGUUGAAAGUGGCCAAUAUAUUAAUAUCUGAACAAAACAACACAAUGAGUGAUGAAAUAUCCAUGUCAAACUCACACAUACUUGCAGAGAACAUUCUUGUCUUGUCUUUUUGUAACCCACAUAAAAUGGGGAUGCCUCUUUAAGAAACAGAGGUUAGGGAAGCUGGUCUACCUAGCCAAUUGGAAGUUUAGUUUCCAGUGUGUUUAAACCAAUCAGAAUUCAGAAUGCUGCUGCAAGUUCCACCCUUCUUCCCCGUAUCCUUGUGUGUGUGAGCGGAAGAGAACCGCCAUAAGAAGAAAACGGUUAAGCUGAGCAGCGUGAGAGUCUGUGUUAAAACGGUUAUAGUACCUGAUACGAACUCUAAACAAACCCUUUCCUAGAUAUAAUGGUUGGUUAUCAUCCAACUUCUAAGCUGGAAGUUGUAAAAUGAGAAAAAAAAAGACUGAACUUCAGUUUUUCUGCCGAGCACCGUUAGAGCUAACGGCUACUGGUUUCCUCAACGUUCAUUUCGUUCUCCCUUCAGUUGAAGUGCCCCACGGUCCGGACUGAGAGCCGCCAUAUUGUUGUCCCAAACGUGUCGCAUUGAGAUCGGUCAGGGUUUUUUAUGCUGGAUUGUUCCUGAGGUGGAUUCCUCCUGUGACUUCGAUGGCCAGCCUUCCCACCUGGACUUAGAAAGAACCGGAUUCAGUCUUUUCCAUUUGGAGUCCUGCUGCACCCCGCGGUGUGGAGAUGCUUGCAAAGGUGAAGUGUGGUGGUGUACAAAAGUACAUUAAAGUUCCACAAAAUGAGGAAUGGUUCAAUUGUCUUCAGUUUCUUCAAGAUGGUUUGUAUUUAUGUGCUAUUUAAAUUGGUAUAGACUAAUUACAUAUGAGUGAACAACAUAUAUUGUCCGACCCAAUUAUCUUAAUUUCAGUUGCGGGCAAAUUUAACUUUCAGCCUACACUCUUCACUGAAAGUGUACUUAUCCUCACUGACAUGUCAGACACUGAAGUUGAUAUAGACAUUUUUGAUGAGUUGGUUAAGUCUGGGGUCCAAGCUUUCAAAGUUGGAUACAAAAAUCAGCCAACCUCAGGUAAAACAACUCUACAAUAAUUUGGUGUAGGCUUCUUCUUGAUAUUGGAUGAAUGUUGGUCAGAUUUAACAACCUUUAUGAUCCCAACUUUUUUUCUUUUUUUUUUUUAUUGUAAAAUCCUCUUACAUGUUGAAUGCUUACCACAUAUAAUUUAUGUUGUCAGGCAUUAUUCCAGUUGUUUUGCAUUGUCAUGUAUUUUGCUGUAAUUGAAAAAAAAAUAAUUUUAUGGUCUUUGAUAGAGAUUUUUUGGUAUUAUCAUUUUGUUGUUACUUUAGUUCAUAUUCAGUCUAAUGUUAGUUAGUUUAAAGUGUUCUCUUUUUUAGUGUGUAUUAACUGACCUGGAAGUCACAACUGCCUGUUCAUCUUCAUGUGAAACAGUUUGACAGAGAUUUGAACCGGGCUCAGACCGUAAAUCAGAUAUCACAUCUGGAACUGGGUUGCUAGUUGUUUGGAUUUUGAGAUCUGUGUGGCGGAAGAUGAAGCACAAUCCUCAGCAACAAUCCCUCUCGUCCGUCCGCCCAGCUUCUUCUUGCUCUUCAGAUUCCACAAUUAUUCUGAAAAGUUCUAAGAACAGUAAGAAGGAACUUGGAAAGCAUGGUCGUGAGGAAGCAAAACAGAAGGUGCGUACUGCCCUGAGGUCAAACCCAAAGGGAGGAUUCCACCCAUAAGUGUUCGGACUAGCUAUGCACUGGGGAUUUUAACGCUUUUUCCAUAUCUUCAAGAUCCGUACUCAAAAAAUGGCUAUGAACAUUUCUAUGAUCCAGAAGCCAACACUGGGUACCUAGCCUGGAGGCUGAAGACUGUUCAGCAAAACACCUUUGAUGGAGCACAUGGGUCUCCCAAGCAAAACUUCCCAGAUGGCCCAACAACAGAAAGAGGAUCUUUGCUUGUUAGUGGACAGUUGUUUGGGGAGGAGUGCGUAGAGGCCCUGUCUGUCAUUAGACACUCCACAGAUGAGUCUGUGAUUAAAGAGAAGAUGAGAGCCACCUUUGAAUACAGACAAAAGAUGGUUCAUGACCCUGAUGCUACAUCAUCAGUCUUGGAUAUCUUCUCUCGUUUUCAUGAUACCCCUGGGCUGAUUGACCAGGAUUUCUCAAUGAUGCUUGGGGACGAAGUGUCGGGAAGAUUUCUUUCCAAAUCGUCUUCAUAUUUCAAACCAAAAGUCAUUGCAGAAAGCCAAAGUCUUCCAUCAACUCCUUCUGUUGAAGAGUUACGAGCUUCUUUUGACCCAGAGCCCUCAAAUCACUGUGGAUGGGAUAGUGACCUGGCAGCUCUUCUAUUGUUGCUGCAUCUCCUACCCCCCACAUCAAGAGGCCACAAAAAACAGCAAAGAUUAGCUCAGCACAGGCAGCCAAUCGUCUAGUAAGAUUCCUCAAAGAAGGAGUCAGUCUCACUACCUUCCUGGAGAAAGUUGACACCAGCCAGCCCUUCCUCCUCUGCAUUGGCGAACAAAAGAAGAAUAUUCUGAGGUUCUUCAUCGUUGUUGACCAGAAAGCUAUUCCAUGUGCUGCUCCAACUUCAGUGGCUGCUUUUGAUGUGCUGUUCAAAGCUCACUUUGUCUUCAGCCUCUCAUAUGAUGAAGCUCUUUCCAGUUUCUAUACCUUCAUUCAAACUACCAUCUACAAUAUUGAUGUUGGGAACACAAGAGAAAGAACACGAGUCAAGGAGCUGAGAGCAUGUCUACUGCGAGGUGAAAAAAGGUGAAAGUGUCAAAAUGCCGCAGAAUAUAAACACGUAUAGGAGGGCUUGAAAACCAUUUGACAAUGUUCACAUGCUUUGUUUGUAAAAUGCACCACAAAGACUGUUCAACUCUUUGUCAACAUUUAAAAUUCCAUCAUGGUUUAUAUCCAGCUAAAAGUUUACGUUUAAAAUGUGGAGAGCAGGGUUGUGUUUCAUCUUUUUGCACUUGCAAUGGCUCUUGAAAACAUAUUCACAAUGUACAUAGUCAUCAUGAUAAGCGUGUAGGGAUACAACAGGAAGCUGUCAUCCAAACACAUUCUCAAGAAAAAUUUUUAGGUGAUCAACUAAGUACUUCUUCAUCUACCUCACAAGUUCCUGCUGUUCUCACACAGGACUCGCUUGUUGGAAUGUGUGGCUCUACAGUCGCUCACUUACAAGCUUCUGGAUUUCUGAAAGUGCUGUUCAAACAGUAAUUUCUUCUGUGGAGGAAGUUGUCACUGAUGUUCAGAGUCAAGCAAGAGAAGCAGUACUCCAAACAUUUUCUUCUGAUAAUAAGAAAUCAGACAUUUACAAAAAAGUUGAACACAGUUUAAACCAAUUACAAAACCCUUUUAACACUGAAAAAAAAGACAAAAAUAUGAUAAAAAAUGGGACAUAGUUGAGCCUAAACAAUUUGUACUUGGUGUAGAUUGGAUACACGUAGACAAAGAACUACAGGUGUUAAUAGCCAAAUACCUGUAAGGGACAAAAUACAUGUAUGUACCUAUUUUAGGUACAAUCAAUUCUAUUUUUAAGAAUAGUGAAAUUAGAGAACUUCUCUUGCAUGAGAAACAAAAACAAACAGGUCUAUACAAAGACAUUACUGAUGGAUUAUAUUUCCAAAAUCAUCCUCUGUUUUCGCAACAGAAAUAUGCUUUACAAAUUUUGCUUUAUUAUGAUGAUUUUGAAACUGCUAACACAUUAGGUUCCAAAAAAGAGAUACAUAAAUUAGGCUGCAUUUAUUUCACAACACUAAACCUCCCACCAAAGGUAAACUCUGUGCUAAUGAAUGUGCAUUUGGCUGCUCUGUUCUACACAGAAGAUUUAAAAAAAUAUGGGUUUGAAGAAAUACUAAAGCCUCUGAUUGAUGACUCGAAAAUUUUAGAAACCAAAAGAAUCCUGCUUCCAUUUAUAGAAGAGCCAGUCUUUGGUUCUGUUAUUCAAAUUACAGGUGACAAUCUUGCUUUAAAUGGCUUAUUGGGUUUUGUUGAAUCAUUUAGUGCAACACACUGGUGUAGGUUUUGUUUGAUAAAUAAGGAAGAAAUUCAGUCUGUUUUUAAUGAAGAUAAUUCUGGGCUUGUUCUCUUCAUUCUGAACAUUGUAAUGCAUUACGUGAAGACCCUGCUCUCUCUUCUGUUUAUGGAGUUAAACAAUCUUGUGUUCUCAAUUCAUUAGAAUAUUAACACAGUACAGACAAUUAUGCUGUUGAUAUAAUGCAUGAUUUGUACAGUAUGAGCUCAAACCUUUUUUUCAAUACAUGAUCAAAAAUGACUAUAUUUCUAUUGGCACAUUAUUAAACAGGAUACAACGUUUUAAUUAUGGCUUUGUGGAGCGCAAAAAUAAACCAAGUGUGUUAAAAAUAGAUGAUAACAGCAAGCACUUAGGUUUAAAUGCUAUUCAAACAUGUAUCCUCCGUAAUACUCGGCUCAUUUUUGGAGACAGUUGAGCGUGACAACAGCCGCUGGAACCUUGUUCUCUUGUUGUUGCAGAUUGUUAACAUUGUGUUAUCCCCAACCCUUACUGAUGGCAUGAUAUGUUAUCUGAAACAUCUGAUCUGUGAUCACCAUAACAUGUUUAAGAAUUUGUACCCUGACAAAAAAUUAAUUCCUAAACACCACCUAAUGAUUCACUAUCCAAGAUGUAUUAAGAAAAUUGGCCCUCUAAUCUACAUAUGGUGCAUGCGUUUCGAAGCCAAGCACAAUUUUUUUAAAAAGUCCAUAACAAUUUUAAAAACCUUACUAAGUCUCUUGUAAAGAGACAUCAGCGUCAAUUGGUCUUUAAUUAUGAAAAGUAUUGUUUUACAAGAUUUGAGUUUGGUCCCUUAAAAUUGAGAACAGUUAACACCUUGAAAGGUGGACAUUUAUUGUGUGAGCUAUGUUUCUACUACAAAAUGGGUAAAAAUGUAUGGUAUUGAAUAUCGUGUUGGUCUUUACUUAUGUAAUGGAAUGUUUAGUGAUCUGCCCGUCUUUAAGAAAAUUUGCCAUGUUAUUGUACAUGAACAACGUCACUCAUAUUAAUUAGGCUGUGCUGUGACAACCUUGUACUUUGAUGAACACUUCCAUUCGUAUUGCAUUGAAGAAAAAAGUGAUGAACAUGCUGUUAUUUGCAUUGAACAACUGACAUAUGUGAGACCCUUAGUCAAACAAUAUUGUAAUGAAGGUGAGAACAUGUACAUUGUUCCAUAUUGUUACAUGUUUUACAUUGUGGUGCUGUUUUAGAAUAAAUGCAUUUCAGAAAAAUCA